AUACUGGGUAUACCAAUUACCGUGAGUCUUAUAUUCAGUGUACUCUAUUUAUAACAAAACGGAUGUAUGAAAGGAUAAAUUUUGUUCUGUUUAAUUAAUUUAUAUUUUAGCUUUAGACUUUUGGCAAAAAAAUCAUCAAAACACCAGUGUCAAAAUGGGACAUUCGCGGUAAUAUGUAUAUCCCGGUAAUUGGUAUACCCAGUAUA
rnacentral:lncRNA from 1 species